GGGCGAAAGGGAAUCCGGUUCCUAUUCCGGAACCCGGCAGCGNAACCGUUAACAAGUCGGGCCCUCGAAAGAGAGUUCGUCGGGGUAACCCAAAAAGACCUGGAGACGCCGUCGGGAGAUCCAGAAAGAGUUUUCUUUUCUGUAUGAGCAUUCGAGUUCCCUGGAAUCCUUUAGCAGGGAGAUAGGGUUUGGAAUGCGAAGAGCACGCAGUUGCGGCGGUGUCUGGAUCUUCCCCUCGGACCUUGAAAAUCCAGGAGAGGGCCACGUGGAGGUGUCGCGCCGGUUCGUACCCAUAUCCGCAGCAGGUCUCC
rnacentral:rRNA from 1 species